UACGUAGGCAGCAAGCGUUGUUCGGAGUUACUGGGCGUAAAGAGUGCGUAGGCGGUGCUCCAAGUCUGUUGUGAAAUCUCCCGGCUUAACUGGGAGGGUGCGGUGGAAACUGGGGCGCUUGAGUAUGGGAGAGGUAAGCGGAAUUCCUGGUGUAGCGGUGAAAUGCGUAGAUAUCAGGAGGAACACCGGUGGUGUAGACGGCUUACUGGACCAUGGACUGACGCUGAGGCACGAAAGCGUGGGUAGCAAACAGG
rnacentral:rRNA from 1 species